UCCUCACUUUGUGCACUCUCUCUCCCCUCAAACUCACGUUGGGCUUGUUCCCAGUUUCCAUCUCACUCUCCUUCAAUGCUUUAUCCUCUAUUAACCAUGUUACGGACUAGCCGCAACUCAGACUUCAUAAAUUCCGGAGGGCCAGGCGCUUUUAAAUCGCCGAUGAAUCCACCAGUAAAGGCGCAGUUGGAAAGGUCUGCCAGUGGAUCGGUGCCGCCGCCGUCGUCUCGUCGAUGUUCGAUUUGAAGAUGGUCAACCGUUUUGAACACUGAAUCUUCUAUUACUGAUUGUGGACCACUGGACCUUGACAUAUCUCAUUAGCUUGGAUCAAUGGAUCAACAUACUUUCCAGUUAUUUCUUCGAGCUCCCGGUGCCUACUCCAACUAAUAUUGAUGAGAUCAAGGGCAUGAUGUGGAUUAGACACAUAUGUUGGAGCGUGUUAUGUUCGAAUCAUGCUUUGGGUGAUUUUUUUUUGAGGGGAUGCUUUGGGUGAUAUUUCACGGAGCAUAAAGACACAAAUUAGGAAAAUGUAGGUGGUCGUAUGAAAUGGUUUAAUGCUAUUUAAAGUUGUAGCAGGACUUAAUUUUAUAUGUAUUUAGUUCUAAAUUUUUGUUGUAAAAUAUUGUAUAUAAUACUAAUUAUUAUGGUAAUU